GUCAGAAACACUGGUGGAGACACAUGGAUCACAGAGCCGGCAGCCCUGGUCAUUUCCAAGUCCCUUUUGUACGCUCGGUGAGAACCCCAGCUGUUUUCCCAGGGGCCACGCCUGGGGCCCCAGCUGCUGGGGAAGCUGAGGCGGGAGGCCCCAGGCCAGCCUGGGAAACUUGACGACCCUCUGACUCAAAAUCUAAAAGUGAAAAGGGCGGGUGUGUGUGUGUGUGUGUGUGUGUCGGUCAGUGGGAGAGCCCUUGGGGUCAAAUCCCCAGGACCAGAAAGGAAGGAACCCACCGAGGGGUGGGAGGGAGGAGAGGGAAACCCUGGCUCCCAGACCCUCCGGCCCUGUGCUGCCCCCGGCCACCUCAGGCCCACUGCCUGCAGUUGUGAACACAGCUUCAUGGACCCUGCUGUGCCCAUUCCUGUCCUCUGUGCCUCUUCUCCCCAUGACCUGCGGAGGGGAGCUCGGGUAAGGCCAAACAGGUGCUCUGUGUGGCUUAUUUUUUCUUUAGCUUUUUUUUUUGGUAUUGGGGUGCAAACCAGGCGGUGUUCUACCUUUGAGCCAAAUCCCCAGUUCUUUUUGAUUUUUUUGUUUUUAUUCUGUUUUGAGAUAGGCUGUCACUAAGGUGCCCAGGCUGGCCUCAAACAUGCUGUUCCUGUCUCAGCCUCCACCCCAGGUUGCUGCCACCAUGCCCAGCCUCUGACUUUCUAUAAAAAAUGUCUGCCCCCCCCCCUGCUCUGUUAAUCUCUCCUUAAAUUCUUAGCCUCUGA
rnacentral:lncRNA from 1 species